rnacentral:rRNA from 1 species
GACCCCAAAACMAGGAAGAAUACCCGCUGAACUUAAGCAUAUCAAUAAGCCGAAGAAAAGAAACUAACAAGGAUUCCCCUAGUAACUGGGAGUGAAGCGGGAAAAACUCAAAUUUAAAAUCUGGCGGUCCUUUGGCUGUCCGAGUUGGAAUCC